GAUGGAAUAGUGUUAUGUGAGCACGUGUAAUUGUCGUUUACGAGGGACUCCAUUAA
rnacentral:tRNA from 1 species